AUUGAACGCUGGCGGCAUGCUUUACACAUGCAAGUCGAACGGCAGCGGGGGCUUCGGCCUGCCGGCGAGUGGCGAACGGGUGAGUAAUGCAUCGGAACGUGCCCAUGUCGUGGGGGAUAACGUAGCGAAAGCUACGCUAAUACCGCAUACGCCCUGAGGGGGAAAGCGGGGGAUUCUUCGGAACCUCGCGCGAUUGGAGCGGCCGAUGUCGGAUUAGCUAGUAGGUGAGGUAAAGGCUCACCUAGGCGACGAUCCGUAGCGGGUCUGAGAGGAUGAUCCGCCACACUGGGACUGAGACACGGCCCAGACUCCUACGGGAGGCAGCAGUGGGGAAUUUUGGUCAAUGGGCGAGAGCCUGAACCAGCCAAGUCGCGUGAAGGAAGAAGGAUCUAUGGUUCGUAAACUUCUUUUGCAGGGGAAUAAAGUGGAGGACGUGUCCUCUUUUGUAUGUACCCUGAGAAUAAGGAUCGGCUAACUCCGUG
rnacentral:rRNA from 1 species